rnacentral:rRNA from 1 species
GGCAAAAUAGAUCCGUAACUUCGGGAAAAGGAUUGGCUCUGAGGGUUGGGUAUAAGGGUCCUUGUUCUGAUGUUCGAGCUGAGCCGAAGCUACUUGACGCCUUUGGUGGAUAGUGGAUUCGUGCAUGGCGAGAAUUGCCGGACAAGGAACGUCUUUCGGGACUUUCCCUGUGCAGUGAACAACCAACUCAGAACUGGAGCGGACAAGGGAAUCCGACUGUUUAAU